CUAUCCCAGCUUUGCACUUCUUUCAGUGCACUCAUGCAGCAUCAGAAGCCACUAAAUGAGGCUAGCUCUACCCACAAGCUCCAAUUUUUGUAUUAUACAGGCACAUGUUCUCAAAGUAACGGUUAGCCACCUCUCAUUUUUCCUUCAGUUGUCCUUUUUCUCUCUUUCACACCUGUAGUGGAAAUGCUAAGUCAGGGCUUGAAACAAUGACUGAGCACCUGGUGGGAAGGCAGGUUUAACCCAGGGGAGCUCAGGUGCAAGCAAUGCAUUGAAUGACUGGAAGGAGUGAGGCAAGAGUUCACCCCUUCCCAGACCUCAUGUAAGGAAGUGGAGGCAAGGGUAUUUUGCUGGAGAUCCCUGUAUACCUGAAACUUUCUAAGGCCUUCCUGAUACGCUUCUAUGCUGAUACUGGCUGUCAUUGCUUUCCAUGCUGAGGAAGAACACAUUUGCUGAUACAGCAGAAGCUUUGAGCCACUCAUACCUGCUCAUACAAGUUUUCCUGUUUGCUUUCCAUUUGCAAACAGAGGAAGACCAUUAAAUGGCUUUGUGAAUCUUACUCACAGGAAACCAGCCCAGCACCGAGCAUCUGGGAACUAUUCUUCCUUCUCUAAACCACUUCCCUGGAAAGGUUUGACCACAUUAUUAAUGCUCCAGAGCUUAUAUUUGCAUUUAUAUUAAAGCUGCUCCUUCCCAUCUUGAUUCCCUGCUGCUUGUGGGUGUAGAAGUUCUGGAAGAUGGCAUCCCUCUCUUUCUCAGCUCGACCACUUCUAUUUUUUUUUUUUUGCUGUGGGAUGCUUGGCUGAUGUCGCAGAGCUGGGAAGAGAGCCAGCAGCACGAUGAGCUCAGCCUCCCUGGAUUGCAGCUGUGCAGGAGAGAAAUGCUGUCCAGCAGGUUGGAGGGCUGUGGGAUGCAGCAUCUUCGCUCCCAGUGUGGGAACCAGUCAGGUCGGAGGCCCAGUAGGAAAAGAAGCUAUGGGAGCUUCUCCCUCCUUCACCCCUCUUCUCUCUGUUGUGAGGCAGUGAAGCCUGGCUGUGAGCAAGCAACAGAGAGGUGGCACACAAAGUUCAGAUAGCCACUGCCUGGAUUUCUCAGCUGGGGUGAGGAGCUGGCAUGCUCUAAGCAUGACUAGUCUGUAAUAUAUAGAUGGUUGGGAGUGUGAGAACGCAGUUUUAUCUUACCACCAGGCAAUGAAGACAUUCCUCUCAAAGGCCAGCUCAUGUUCUUACACGACAAGCAGGAAGCACUGCCAUUCUCUCCUGGAGCUCCAGCUCUGUGAGAAAGGUGAAAAAAUCAAGGCUAGGACAUACCAGAUCUUUGCUGUUUCCAAGGAUGGUUUAUCUAGAACCGCACUUUUCUUCUUGCUUUUUCUCCCUCCUGCAAGGUGUAGAAAGUUGGCUGAACGACCACAGGAACAGGAGUGCGUAGGAGGAGCUCGGAGAGGACAUAUGGGGGCUGAGAAGGACUUCUUGAAAGUCAAAGGAACAGCUGAGUGCUGAAGGUGAGGAUAGGACACAAAGUAGCACCCCCAAGAUUUGCCCCUUUCAAGUCAUGCCACAGCAGAACAGGCUUUUCCACACUUUGAAUAGUCUCUAUAACAGCUCCACACAGAACUACAUGUAUUAGAGCAGCUAAUGCUCUCAGCAGCCAGCAUGGAGUGCAUCAGUUUUAUAAAGAUGUAUGCUGCAUACACAUCAUUUUCAACUAUUUCUUUACACAGUCAUUCUCUCCCCUCCUACACAUCUCUCCAUUUUAGGAGUAGAGACAAAUUGAAUAAGAGGGCAACCGGUCCUUGAACUGUUUUAUUUACCACUUUUGGCUGCAAACAGUUGAACUGAUCUUAUUACAAGAAAUCCCCUCCCAUAUGCUGUUAACACAGUUUCCAGAACACGUACUUUAGUAUGUUCACUAUUUCCCUGUUUGGACAAAGUACAUCUGUGUGACCUUCCCUUCCACGCAGACACAACAGAAAGAACAGAACACAGGUGGUGCAGACUUACGAUGCACUGGGUGGAUACCAAAUUCCUUCCACUGCUAACAUCUGAACCAAGCUACUUAGACUCAGGAGUUAGUUCUAACCAAGGGCUGGUAUUAUUAGUACUAGUCUCUUUUUUUGUCUAAAGGGAGAACACUUCCCAUUUGUUUAAGGAAGGGGUGGGAAGGGGCAGAGAAAGAGCUCCAAAAAGCACGUUUACAGUAGUUUACCAGGAAGAUCAUCUGGAACAACACUCCCAUCUGCUGGGCCAUCUACUCAUUGCAGCAGGGAAUUUAGCAGUAUGAAGAAAAAAAAAAACACCAACAAACUACACAAAAACCCCAUCUCUUCAAUCCAGCACCACAGCCUCUGGUUCAGAUGAUUAGAUAGAGAGCUGACUUUUGGGUCACAAGCAUUCUUGCCUACAGGAGCUGGCAGCAUCCAGCAGCAGUGCCCUCCUAGGGCAGCUGUAACCUCAGAAGAAAAGCUUGGGCUGAAAUAUGAGAAAGAGCUUUCUCCGUUUCAGACAUCUUUCUUGGAGAGGGGUGACUGAGCAGGCAGAGCAGGAGUCAUCUCAGUUCCAACCUGCACUCUGAAAGCCUGAGCAUGUAGGAGAGAAGAUGUCACAUGUCAAGAGGAAUCAGAGCAGGG